rnacentral:misc_RNA from 1 species
GAUGAAGAACGCAGCUAAAUGCGAUAAGUAAUGUGAAUUGCAGAAUUCAGUGAAUCAUCGAGUCUUUGAACGCACAUUGCGCCCCCUGGUAUUCCGGGGGGCAUGCCUGUCCGAGCGUCAUUGCUGCCCUCAAGCACGGCUUGUGUGUUGGGCCUCCGUCCUCCUCCCGGGGGACGGGCCCGAAAGGCAGCGGCGGCACCGCGUCCGGUCCUCGAGCGUAUGGGGCUUCGUCACCCGCUCUUGUAGGCCCGGCCGGCGCUUGCCGACACAUCAAUCUUUUUUCCAGGUUGACCUCGGAUCAGGUAGGGAUACCCGCUGAACUUAAGCAUAUCAAUAAGCGGAGGA